rnacentral:lncRNA from 1 species
UUUCAAUUUCUGCGUCCUCCUCGUUCUCGUUCUUCUUUUAUAACUACGAAUACAAAUCCAAAUCUAUUCGUGAAUUUCAUUUGAUUAUGAAUUUUUCUUAUUUUUUGUAUGUUACUAAACGGGGCUACAUGUACUCCAAGAAAGGGUUGAAUACUGAAUACCCUUAGUUCUUGAUCUGCCAAUGCGGCUGUAGCCAUAGCAAUAAUUUUUGAGAAGUUUACUGGCCGGUUGUUGUUUCUUUUCAUCGACAAAUCUGCUUACCGAACUUUUCACAUUUUUCUCCAGUUUUUAUUUUGGUUCAAUUUGAUCGGGUAUCUAUAGGAGAAUGGAAGUAGAAUGAAACGGCAGAGGUUUUAGCCGUUUUAAGAGACCAUUCUCUGAAAUCAAUCAAUGAAUUACCAUUGAUUGCACUUUCCGGGCUCACUGCCUAGAGUUUCAAGCAGUAUGCGUCUAUAGGUGCAUAUAUUAUUUCUCACAGCUAGAUUAAUUUCUGUGAAUUUUUUAGAAGGU